CCAGUGCGCGAAGCUACCGUGCGCUGGAUUAUGACUGAACGCCUCUAAGUCAGAUCCGGGCCAGAAGCGACGCGUUGUCCGCCGCUCGUUUGCCGACCAGCAGUAGGGGCCCUCCGGCCCCCAAAGGCACGUGUCGUUGGCUAAGCCCUCGCGGCGGACGAGCCGCGCGGGCCGCCUUGAAUUACAAUUUCCACCGGGCGGCGGACUGAAUCCUUUGCAGACGACUUAAAUACGCGACGGGGUAUUGUAAGUGGCAGAGUGGCCUUGCUGCCACGAUCCACUGAGAUUCAGCCCUUCGUCGCUCCGAUUCGU
rnacentral:ncRNA from 1 species